CGCCAGCAGCCGCGGUCAUACGUAGGGUGCAAGCAUUAUCCGGAGUGACUGGGCGUAAAGAGUUGCGUAGGUGGUCAAGUUAGCGAAUAGUGAAAUCUGGUGGCUCAACCAUUCAGACUAUUGUUCGAACUGCUUGACUCGAGAGUAGCAGAGGUAACUGGAAUUUCUAGUGUAGGAGUGAAAUCCGUAGAUAUUAGAAGGAACACCAAUGGCGUAGGCAGGUUACUAGGCUAUUUCUGACACUAAGGCACGAAAGCGUGGGGAGCGAACCGGAUUAGAUACCCGGGUAGUCCACGCCGUAAACGAUGGAUACUAGCUGUUGGAGGUAUCGACCCCUUCAGUAGCGAAGCUAACGCGUUAAGUAUCCCGCCUGUGGAGUACGGUCGCAAGACUAAAACAUAAAGGAAUUGACGGGGGCCCGCACA
rnacentral:rRNA from 1 species